CAGUCUCCGCGGUAAUACGUAGGGUGCAAGCGUUAAUCGGAAUUACUGGGCGUAAAGCGUGCGCAGGCGGUUAUAUAAGACAGAUGUGAAAUCCCCGGGCUCAACCUGGGAACUGCAUUUGUGACUGUAUAGCUAGAGUACGGCAGAGGGGGAUGGAAUUCCGCGUGUAGCAGUGAAAUGCGUAGAUAUGCGGAGGAACACCGAUGGCGAAGGCAAUCCCCUGGGCCUGUACUGACGCUCAUGCACGAAAGCGUGGGGAGCAAACAGGAUUAGAUACCCCAGUAGUCCCUGUCUCUUAUAC
rnacentral:rRNA from 1 species